rnacentral:lncRNA from 1 species
GCAACACGUACAGUGGGCCUAAUACAUCCAUCUAAUACUAUACCAGCAACACGUACAGUGGGCCUACAUAACAAACGUUACAUCACUGAUUCAAUUCAACACAACUUUAUCAAUCGCGUCAAGGGCAACCCAGAAAGCAUAGUCGGACACAGAACACAUUACUUUAGACAUUCAGACUGUACAGGUGUAGAAGUGCAAUACAUUACGUGAAACAGAACAAGUUACUCUGAGACGCUUGAUACAUACAUGUACGGCCCCUGAAGAUGUUUGUAAGACAAACAUGUUGGAUGGAUGAGAGAGGAGGUGUUAGAUGUUGUGAUUACAGGGAUGCUCCUCAGGGAGAGGAGGUGUUAGAUGUGAUUUGCAGAGAGGUUCUUCAGGGUGUGUAUUUGAUGUUAAUGUAUAUAUGUAAAAUGUGUUUAUUCUAUGCUCUCAAUUUCUAUGUCCCAUCAGUUGUGCCUUCUGUUGGUAACAAGAGCCCUUCAUGUUCUGGUCUAGAUUUAGUUAGUUCUUACUCAGAGAAACUGUAUGUGUUUUUGUGUCUUUGUGUGUGUGUGUGUGUGUGUGUGUGUGUAUAUAUAUAUUUAUACAGUACCAGUCAAAAGUUUGGACACACCUAUUCAUUCAAGGGUUUUUCUUUAUUUUUACUAUUUUCUACGUUGUAGAAUAAUAAUGUAGACAUCAAAACUAUGAAAUAACCCAUUUGGAAUCAUGUAGUAACCAAAAAGGUGUUAAACAAAUCUAAAUAUAUUUUAUAUUUUUGAUUCUUCAAAGUAGCUACCCUUUGCCUUGAUGACAGCUUUGCACACUCUUGGCAUUCUCUCAACCAGCUUCACCUGGAAUGCUUUCCCAACUGUCUUGAAGGAGUUCCCACAUUUGCUGAGCACUUGUUGGCUACUUUCCUUCACUCUGCUGUCCAACUCAUCCCAAACCACCUCAAUUGGGUUGAGAGUGGAUAAUUGUGGAGGCCAGGCUCUGAUGCAGAACUCCAUCACUCUCCUUCUUGGUCAAAUAGCCCUUACACAGCCUGGAGGUGUGUUGGGUCCUGUUGAAAAACAAAUGAUAGUCCCACUAAGCGCAAACCAGAUGGGAUGGCGUAUCGCUGCAGAAUGCUGUGGUAGCCAUGCUGGUUAAGUGUGCCUUUAAAUCAGUCGUUUCUCUUUUCUUAUUUGAGAUGUUCUUGCCAUAAUAUGGACUUGGUCUUUUACCAAAUAGGGCUAUCUUCUGUAUACCACCCCUACCUUGUCACAACACAACUGAUUGGCUCAAACGCAUUAAGAAGGAAAGAAAUUCCACAAAUUAACUUUUAACAAGGCACACCUGUUAAUUGAAAUACAUUCCAGGUGACUACCUCAUCAAGCUGGUUGAGAGAAUGCCAAGUGUGUUCAAAGCUGUCAUCAAGGCAAAGGGUGGCAACUUCGAAGAAUCUGUUUAAUUUGUUUAACACUACAUUGGUUACUACAUGAUACCAUAUGUGCUAUUUCAUAGUUUUAUGUCUUCACUAUUAUUCUAUAAUGUAGAAAAUAGUAAAAUAAAAAACGUAGAAUGAGUAGGUGUGUCCCAACUGUUGACUGGUACUGCUCAAGUGUUGUAUAACUAGUCUUCCAGAUUGACCAUCGAAGGAUAAAGUGCUAUCCUGUCCUGUUACUUGAAUUGUCUAUUUAUUUAUUUUAACCUACUAGGUUGCCAUCAACCCGGUUACCUUAUAACGUACAUAUAUAUCCAUGAACAAGAGGUAUACAUACCAUUAGGGCUGCAAAAUACCCCAAAUUCCUAGGUUUUCCAGAAAUACCCCUUGGAGGAUUCCCAGAUUUCCUCCUUAUUCCUUGCCAAUUCUAGUUUUGUUUUUCCAACCCUGGGAAUCUGGGAAAGUUUCAGGAAUUUUGCAUCCCAUCAAGGUACUUAAGAUCUGCAACAUUCUUUACUUAAGUCAAACCUUACUGUAGAAUUUUCCCAAAAUUCCCAGGUUUUCCACAAAUCCCAGCUGAAAUAUUCCUGGAAUCUGAAGGGUAUAAGCAAGAAAUCCAGGGAUACUCUUACCCGGAUUUCUGGAAAUUUUGUUCAACCCUACUGUAUAAUCUACUAUGAGGUGUUAAUAUUACAAAUAUUGUACUCAACAUUACCUACCUGUGUUUACUGUUUCAUAGAACAGUUGUGUUAUGGCAUACAGUGAAUGAAUAGAUGGAGAAAUAAAAUCCAAGGUCAAGUCAUACCUCCUUUCUUUGCCUCUUAAAGUAGCAGUUAUCAAGUUAGUAGAGAUACUUACUGUACAGACAGAGGUGUAUUAGCCUCAAACCUCAUAGGCUAAGAUCAGGAUUCAAAUGAUCGUGCUUUGUCAGCUAUGCGCCAGUAAAAAUCAAUUUCUCAAUGAGCUGACGUACGUAGAGUUUACCAUUAAUGCGGUCUCCGUGACAAGGGAACAUUGCCUUUAAAAGAUACAAUGCUGACAAAGAGCAGGCGGAUUACAUCCUAGACUAAAUAUUCUAUCCUCCAAAUACUAUACCAUAUUAUUCCAAUGGAAUACAUUAUGGAGAACUACUACAUGCAUGUACAGUGUAGACACAAAGGACAUCAACAUAAUUAUAUAUACAGUGAGGGAAUAAAGUAAUAAUAACAUACAAAUAAUAUACAAAUAAUAACACAAAGAAUAAAUACACAAUGAUUC